rnacentral:rRNA from 1 species
AGUGAACGCUGGCGGUAGGCCUAACACAUGCAAGUCGAACGGCAGCACAGUAAGAGCUUGCUCUUACGGGUGGCGAGUGGCGGACGGGUGAGGAAUACAUCGGAAUCUACUUUUUCGUGGGGGAUAACGUAGGGAAACUUACGCUACUACCGCAUACGACCUACGGGUGAAAGCAGGGGAUAUUCGGACCUUGCCCGAUUGAAUGAGCCGAUGUCGGAUUAGCUAGUUGGCGGGGUAAAGGCCCACCAAGGCGACGAUACGUAGCUGGUCUGAGAGGAUGAUCGGCCACACUGGAACUGAGACACGGUCCAGACUCCUACGGGAGGCAGCAGUGGGGAAUAUUGGACAAUGGGCGCAAGCCUGAUCCAGCCAUACCGCGUGGGUGAAGAAGGCCUUCGGGUUGUAAAGCCCUUUUGUUGGGAAAGAAAAGCAGCAUGUUAAUACCCCGCUGUUCUGACGGUACCCAAAGAAUAAGCACCGGCUAACUUCGUG